rnacentral:lncRNA from 1 species
GGCAAGGCAGCCUGGUAAAUGGGCCCGGAUCUUUUCCCAGAGAGCACUUUGUAACCUUGAUAACAAGACUCAAAUGACCUCCACCAAAAUCAAAAACAAAACUAACAAAAGCCCAUUUGAAUGUUAGAAAACAUCUUCACAAUGAAUCUAGUCUUUCUGUUUUUGUGGUUUCGGCAGCUGCUUUAUUUGGGUGUGUUCUUGACAGUCAUGGUUUCAGAGGGUUCUUCUAUCCAAGAGGAAGUCAGUCCUCUGAAGACCAAGUUUGCGUACUGGACAAUUUGAGCUGACAGCAGCUGCCAACUCAUGCUCGGCUCUUCACGGUGGACUGUCUCUUGUGCAGGUCAGCUUGUCCUGGCAGAUGCUAUCCAUGGCAGUGCUUCCCUGCCUGGGCCUGGGGAGAGGCCCUCCUGGGAGAUUCCUCUUCUGGCUGAGCCUGUACCUGGGCCUGUGUGCAGAAAAACCACCUACAAGGACUCCUCAAACUCACAAUAAACAUAGACUGUUCUCAUAGGGCUUUGCCAUGCCUGGAGUUCUUCAACCCAGGAAAAGUGGCUACAAGACCUUGAUGUUCCACUCAGAGGACCAGGGAUUAUGGUGGGAGAGAUGACAUAAGGACUGAAAUCACACAAAGGUGCAAAUGACUAAUGCCAGUAGGUUUCUGGAAGCAGGUUCCGUAGACUUGAGGGUGCACUCCGAGGAAAGCUGAGUGAUGAGGAAGCACCAGGAAGGAAGUGCUCAGAAAAGGGGAGGCCGGUGGCUGGAGUGACUCCUGGUCUAGCAGUUCUUCAUGUCCAUCUUGUUUUCAUGCCAAGGGAAUUUCAGCCUUACCUUUGCCCAGGUUUGGGUGGCAAUGAUAGGGACAGGAGAAGGGAAAUUCUGGGCAGAAGUGGGUGGGUCUCCAGCAAGGGCCUCACCCUCAAGCCUAAAACUAUGGCCCAAAGUGAGAACAUUCCUGUUUUCCUGCUUGACUGUUGCCUUUUCCAAAACCACCCAUGGCCCGCCCCACUCCUAACCUGUGCCCAAGAAAGCCCCAGGCUCCACUAGCAGAGAGAGAAGAGAAGAAGCAGUUGGAUGUCAGAGACUAUGGUUGAAUGUCGGAGAGAAGGGGCUUGACUUCAGAGGGACAGCUUGAUGGCAUAGCUUUGGAGAGGAGUCUGGCCAGGGAUGGCCAGACUCCGGGGGAAGAUUACCUACCCACUCCCUCCCCUUCUCAGCUCCCCUUCUCACUGAGAGCCACUUUCAUCAGCAAUAAAAUCCCCUGCAUUUAUCAUCUCCAAUUUGUUUGUGUGACCUCAUUCCUCCUAGACCUCAGAUAAGAAUUUGAGUGUGGGUGCAAAGGGCUGUCACACUGACCCUCCACUGAGCU